UACGUAGGGGGCGAGCGUUGUCCGGAAUUAUUGGGCGUAAAGGGUUCGUAGGCGGUUAAAUAAGUCAGGUGUGAAAGCCAUAGGCUCAACCUAUGUAAGCACUUGAAACUGUAUAACUUGAGUUAAGGAGAGGAAAGUGGAAUUCCUAGUGUAGCGGUGAAAUGCGUAGAUAUUGGGAAGAACACCAGUGGCGAAGGCGACUUGCUGGGCAGCAACUGACGCUGAGGCGCGAAAGCCAGGGGAGCAAACGGGAUUAGAUACCCCGGUAGUCCCUGAGCGGGCU
rnacentral:rRNA from 1 species